rnacentral:rRNA from 1 species
AACGAACGCUGGCGGCAUGCCUAACACAUGCAAGUCGAACGAGACCUUCGGGUCUAGUGGCGCACGGGUGCGUAACGCGUGGGAACCUGCCCUUAGGUUCGGAAUAACUCCCCGAAAGGGGUGCUAAUACCGGAUAAUGUCUUCGGACCAAAGAUUUAUCGCCUUUGGAUGGGCCCGCGUUGGAUUAGCUAGUUGGUAGGGUAAAAGCCUACCAAGGCGACGGUCCAUAGCUGGUCUGAGAGGAUGAUCAGCCACACUGGGACUGAGACACGGCCCAGACUCCUACGGGAAGCAGCAGUGGGGAAUAUUGGACAAUGGGCGAAAGCCUGAUCCAGCAAUGCCGCGUGAGUGAUGAAGGCCUUAGGGUUGUAAAGCUCUUUUACCCGGGAUGAUAAUGACAGUACCGGGAGAAUAAGCUCCGGCUAACUCCGUG